CCUUGGGAAGUGAACACAGCCUGUUUUCACCCAUUCCUAAAAGCUGAUCCACAUCACCGUGAUCAUACAUGGGAGGUGUGGGUACGUUAACCACAGAAUAAAUUAGGGACCAGGACAAAGCGAGCCCGGCCCUGCGCUCUGUCGGCAGCAGGGGCUGGCUGAGCGCACAGGGCCUGCUGGGUGCAGUGGCGACAGAGCCAAGCCGCCUGGAGGUCAGCACCGCUGAGAGACGACCGGCCUGGCCGGCCAGGAAGAGACACCAGCAAUGACAGACAGGCGCAGGAGGCCUGUAAGGCAAGAGCGGAGGACUCUGGCCACAUCAGAUUAAGGACUACCCAAGGACCUCAGCCAACUCAUUGGAAAAGACCCUGAUGCUGGGAAAGAUCGAAGGCGAGAGGAGAAGAGGGCGAGAUGGUGCAUCAUCAAUUCAAUGGAUUUGAACUCCGGCAAACUUGGAGAUGGCUUCCCUGAUAGCUCAGCUGUGACAGAAUCCUCGCUUCUGCUGAAGUGGCAACAUGGCCAGUGAGAAUUACUUCUCUUUCCACAAGUCCCUUGAUCUGGAAGUGGCUGCAACACCCAGAAAAGGAAGUGCAAGUACAGUUCCUUGGGGAGGGCUGUCGGAAGGACCAGGGCAGCUCUUCACCGGUCGCCUCUUCCCUUCCUGAGCCCAAGGUAACAUGGCUGUCCUGCCGCAGUCGGGAUAAAAGCCGCGAGUGGAAAUGGUGGGCGAGGCUCAGGAGGAGCCGGGGAACCUGGGGGCUUCUGUGAGCCUCUGCUCUCUCCGGAUGGACGCCUUGUCACAUGAGGUGACAACUUCUCCUUUGUAGGUCAGUGGUUGUCAGCCAGGAGCAGUUUCCCUCCACCCCAGAGAGACCGAUGGAGGCAUUUGUGGCUCCCACAGCUGGCGAGGGUCCUGCUAGUAUCAAGCAUGCUAUGGAUCCAGAAGCCCUCCACCCCGUUCAACAGAGCAGUAUCUGCCCCUGAAGUCACAAGGCCAAGGUUUGAGAAAGACAGUUUCAAGUCACCUGGCAGCUUUUUUGUUAGCCCUCAUUUAGGAAGUAGUAGGAGACACAGGAAGAAGUUUCCUUACAACAAAAAAAAUGGAUCCUCUGUUUGGGAAGACUCAUUGGGUGUUCCCUCAGAGGAUAAUUUGGCAUCGCAGCCUUGAGUAUGGAAAGAACACGCUCGAAGGUCGGAUAAGGAGUGGUCCCCAUGAUGCGGACACAGCACGUGCUCUGAGCCUGAGGGCCUCCAUCACUGCGUGGUGUAUUUAGGGGUCUCAGGGCAUAUCUGGGGGGUUAGGAAGAAACCCUUUCCCAUGAUACACUAGAGAUUAAAAGUAAGUGCCCUCCCUCCACACGACCCCAGCAAUAGUUACCAAACUCUUUUUCCCCAAGUUUCCAGAGUCCUUUGACACAGAUAGUAUAUAUGUUGGACUUUUUCCAGGUUAACAGGUGGACCCAUCACUUUAAAUUUAAAGGUUCUCCACCUGGAGAAACAUCAGAGUUUGAAUAACAGUAUACUGAGCAUAUCUUGCUCCUUGGAAGAAAAGU
ensembl:lncRNA